UACAGAGGUCUCAAGCGUUGUUCGGAUUCAUUGGGCGUAAAGGGUGCGUAGGCGGCGCGGUAAGUCGGGUGUGGAAUCUCGGAGCUUAACUCCGAAACUGCAUUCGAUACUGCCGUGCUUGAGGACUGGAGAGGAGACUGGAAUUCAUGGUGUAGCAGUGAAAUGCGUAGAGAUCAUGAGGAAGACCAGUGGCGAAGGCGGGUCUCUGGACAGUUCCUGACACUGAGACACGAAGGCCAGGGGAGCAAACGGG
rnacentral:rRNA from 1 species